rnacentral:ncRNA from 1 species
CUUAAGACAGGAUUUGGACAAGUAGCAAAAAACGAUUGUCUUAGAGAAUCGAAGCAAGGCUGGAACUUCGAUACAACAACUUUUGUGAACCUACCAAUGGUAUUUAUUGUGAAAGCAAUAGGGAUGGACUCCUUAUCGUCUGGCAAGUGGGGUUGCAAAAGGCAACCAACUAAGGUGGUACCGCGAAUGUUCAAGCAUUUCGUCCUUUUU